GAUGAACGCUGGCGGCGUGCUUAACACAUGCAAGUCGAACGAAAAGGCCCGGCUUUUGUGGGGUGCUCGUGUGGCGAAGGGGUGUGAAACACGUGUGUAACCUGCCCCUGACUGUGGGAUAACUUCAGGAAACUGCGGCUAAUACCGCAUAGGAUCUCCUGCUGCAUGGUGGGGGUUGGAAAAUUUCGGCGGUUGGGGAUGGAUUCGCGGCUUAUCAGCUUGUUGGGGAGGUAGUGGCUUACGAAGGCUUCGACGGGUAGCCGGCAUGAGAGGGUGACCGGCCACAAUGGGACUGAGAUACGGCCCAGACUCCUACGGUAGGCAGCAGUGGGGAAUAUUGCACAAUGGGCGCAAGCCUGAUGCAGCGACGCCGCGUGCGGGAUGACGGGCUUCGGGUUGUAAACCGCUUUCGCCUGUGACGAAGCGUGAGUGACGGUAAUUGGUAAAGAAGCCCCGGCUAACUACGUG
rnacentral:rRNA from 1 species